GAAGGGAGCAGCGGCUCUCACUGUCUCGACCCUCCGAGCUGGGGAAGGAGCGGCAUUUCCCUUCGGGACUCACCCGUCGUCGCCGCGGCCACCUCGGUCGGGCGCGCGGAACUCGGCGCUAGCGGAACCGCGCGCUCCGGGGCACUGGCGGGCCAGGCGGACGCGGGCCGAGCGCGGCUCUGGCGAGCGCUUCCUGGGACGCCUGCGCAGUAGCGGACGCCCACCCCCGGGGGCCAGCGGGCACCGCCGAGAGCGGUGCUGCGGGCGGCCCAGUGAGACGCGGACGUGGAUUGGAUGCUCCAGCCAGCGCGGAUGGGACUCCCUUUCCCAUUGGUGUGUUUCACGUACCUCCCGGAGACAGGUGGAGUUCAACUGGACCUAGGGAAAAAAGAACGAGAAAUCCAGAAGGAAGGUGCACUUCAGAAAUCGCUGACUUCGCAGCCCAGCUAGGGAGCCAUUACUCAUGCACACCACUCUUUCUCUGCCUGGAAAUGAAUUGGCAUCUGGUUCCCUUCAUGGUAAAAAGGAAUGGGAGGGCUCACCCCUGCCUUGUGCUUCCAGCACCCCACGGAAUCCAGGACUCUGCAGGAGGAGGAACUCCAUUGUGUGGGUUCUAUGCACUACUCAACAAAUUUGCUUACACCAGCCAUACAACAGUUUAAUUUCAUUAUGUUUCAAUGGGAAAGACACUCCAUUUGGAAUCUGUGAAUAAAUAGUAUCUCUUCUCAAUUUAAAGGCUCUUGACAAAGUAGCUUACUUCUAAAUAAAAUCUUAUGUCUGGAA